rnacentral:rRNA from 1 species
GGCUUAGAAGCAGCCAUCCUUGAAAGAGUGCGUAAUAGCUCACUGGUCAAGUGGUUCUGCGCCGACAAUGUAGCGGGGCUCAAGCGUACCGCCGAAGCUGUGGCAACAACACGCGAUGCUGGCGCCAGGAACUGGAGUGCUGGUGUGUUGUUGGGUAGGGGAGCGUCCUGCACGAGGUGAAGCCUGGAGGGAACUUCUGGUGGAUUGUGUGGGAGUGAGAAUGCAGGCAUGAGUAACGAAUCUGCGGUGAGAAUCCGCAGCGCCGAUUGACUAAGGGUUCCAGGGCUAGGUUUAUCCGCCCUGGGUUAGUCGGGUCCUAAGGCGAGGCCGACAGGCGUAGUCGAUGGACAACCAGUUGAUAUUCUGGUACCGCGUUAUGACCGCCCAUGCUGAAGUCAUUGUGCUAACCAAUUUGCUCACGCGCCCUCAUGGCUUUCGGGCCGCGAGCGUGCGUGUGGGUCUUGGGGCCCCGGUGAUGGUAGGCAAGCGUGUUAACAGGGGUGACGCAGACAGGUAGCUGCAGUGCGCCGAUGGUUGAGCGUAUUUAAGGUUGUGGCCCGUCUCCCAGGUAAAUCCGGGGGGCUUGAGGGGUGAGAACUGAUGAGGGACACACGCGUGUGUGGACUUGUGGUGAUCCUAUGCUGCCGAGAAAAGCCUCGACGUGAGGGCAUAACGCGCCCGUACCCUAAACCGACUCAGGUGGUCAGGUAGAGUAUACCGAGGCGUUCGAGUGAAUCGUGGUUAAGGAACUCGGCAAAAUUCCUCCGUAACUUCGGGAUAAGGAGGACCCCGUGACUUCGGCUCAUCAUGCGUGGGUGUGGGGUUGUGGGGUCGCAGAGAAUAGGGAGAAGCGACUGUUUAUCAAAAACACAGGUGCGUGCGAAGCCGUAAGGCGAUGUAUACGCACUGACGCCUGCCCGGUGCUGGAAGGUUAAGAGGAACUGUCAACACCCCCCGGGGUGUGAAGCGGUGAAUUUAAGCCCCAGUAAACGGCGGUGGUAACUAUAACCAUCCUAAGGUAGCGAAAUUCCUUGUCGGGUAAGUUCCGACCUGCACGAAUGGCGUAACGACUUCCCCGCUGUCUCAACCAUGAGCUCGGCGAAAUUGCAGUACGAGUAAAGAUGCUCGUUUCGCGCAGAAGGACGGAAAGACCCCGGGACCUUUACUAUAGCUUGGUAUUGGUGUUCGCUUGGACUUGUGUAGGAUAGGUGGGAGACUGUGAAGCUGCCGCGCCAGCGGUGGUGGAGUCGUCGUUGAAAUACCAUUCUGGUUCAAGCGGUCACCUCAACCUUGGCCCGUGAUCCGGGUUGGGGACAGUGCCUGGUGGGUAGUUUAACUGGGGCGGUUGCCUCCUAAAAUGUAACGGAGGCGCUCAAAGGUUCCCUCAGCCUGGUUGGUAAUCAGGUGGCGAGUGCAAGUGUACAAGGGAGCUUGACUGUGAGACCGACGGGUCGAGCAGGUGCGAAAGCAGGAACUAGUGAUCCGGCCAUGGCACGUGGGUGCGUGGUCGCUCAACGGAUAAAAGGUACCCCGGGGAUAACAGGCUGAUCUUGCCCAAGAGUCCAUAUCGACGGCAUGGUUUGGCACCUCGAUGUCGGCUCGUCGCAUCCUGGGGCUGGAGCAGGUCCCAAGGGUUGGGCUGUUCGCCCAUUAAAGCGGUACGCGAGCUGGGUUCAGAACGUCGUGAGACAGUUCGGUCCCUAUCCUCUGUGCGCGCAGGAAAUUUGAGAAGGGCCGUCCCUAGUACGAGAGGACCGGGAUGGACGAACCUCUGGUGUGCCAGUUGUACCGCCAGGUGCAUGGCUGGUUGGCUACGUUCGGAAGGGAUAACCGCUGAAAGCAUCUAAGCGGGAAGCCUGCUUCAAGAUGAGGUUUCCACGCCCCCACGUGGGGUGAGAGGCCCCCGCCAGACUAGCGGGUUGAUAGGCCAGAGGUGGAAGCACCGCGAGGUGCUCGCGAGCCGACUGGUACUAAUGGGCCAACACUAAACAAC